rnacentral:rRNA from 1 species
AAACUAACAAGGAUUCCCCUAGUAACUGCGAGUGAAGCGGGAAAAGCUCAAAUUUAAAAUCUGGCGGCUUUGGUCGUCCGAGUUGUAUUCUAGAGAAGUGUUUUCCGCGUUGGACCGUGUAUAAGUCUCUUGGAAUAGAGCGUCAUAGAGGGUGAGAAUCCCGUCUUUGACACGGACUACCAAUGCUUUGUGAUACACUCUCAAAGAGUCGAGUUGUUUGGGAAUGCAGCUCAAAAUGGGUGGUAAAUUCCAUCUAAAGCUAAAUAUUGGCGAGAGACCGAUAGCGAACAAGUACCGUGAGGGAAAGAUGAAAAGCACUUUGGAAAGAGAGUUAAACAGUACGUGAAAUUGCUGAAAGGGAAACGCUUGAAGUCAGUCGCGUUAGCUAGAACUCAACCAGGCUUGCUUGGCGUAUUUUCUAGUUAACGGGCCAGCAUCAGUUUUGACCGCAGGAAAAGGGCCAGGGAAAUGUGGCAUCUUCGGAUGUGUAUAGUCUCUGGUCGUAUACUGUGAUUGGGACUGAGGACCGCAGCACGCGCAAGCUGUGCUUAGGAUGCUGGCGUAAUGGCUUUAAACGACC